rnacentral:rRNA from 1 species
UACAGAGGGUGCAAGCGUUGUUCGGAAUUAUUGGGCGUAAAGGGCGCGUAGGCGGUGCGGUAAGUCUGUAGUGAAAUCUCUGGGCUCAACUCAGAGUCUGCUGCAGAAACUGCCGUGCUUGAGUGUGGGAGAGGUGAGUGGAAUUCCCGGUGUAGCGGUGAAAUGCGUAGAUAUCGGGAGGAAUACCGAUGGCGAAGGCAGGUCUCUGGGCUAACACUGACGCUCAUGCACGAAAGCGUGGGGAGCAAACAGG